rnacentral:lncRNA from 1 species
CCCAAGCUUCGCAUUUCCCUUUCUCUUUGAAGAAGCAAAACCCUCCAGUAAUCUUUGGGUGCAUGAUUUGAGGCUUUGUCAACUGUUCUCAGUAAGGCAUGAGCAUUCACAACUCUCCUUCCCUAUGUGUUUUACACUUCAGAAAAAAAUCAAAGCCAGCACAACUCCCAACUGUUCACACGAGAAGACAGAACCUGCCUCUACCCUGCAGUCUCUGCAUGUCUUGUCGGGGCCUCCACUCACACAGCCUGGGAAGAAGGAAGGUGGGAAUAUAUUUUUACAGGUUAUUACAAAAAGUGUCAAGUUUAAGCUUGUACAUUCCAAAUAACCAGUUGUUUAGGGUUCUUCACCUACUUACUGAUCGUCUUGGACUUCAGAGGACCCUCUGAAGAUGUGCAGCUGAAAACCGAACCACCCAAAGUAUUGGCUGAUGAUGAUUUUUCCAGCCCCACUGCUGGUGUCAGUAGAACUGUGAUGAGACCCUAGGUGGGUUCAAGUCACCGAUCAGUAAGCCCCUACAACGGAAGAAGACUCUGAGGGGAUGGGCAAGGGCCACGUGCCCCGUGAAGCUCAGGGACAAAUAUAGGGUGUGAUGGAGCACAGCUGUUACGCGGAAAGCUGACUUCAUCUCAACACAAAGGGGACCCGAGGGUGGCCUUUGUUUUAGACAAACAGCUAUGUCAGUUGAGUGGAUCAGCUGACUACAUCACAGUUGAGUGGAUCAACUGAUGGUGUAAAUGUUUCUCCCUGAGUUCAUCAAAAGAGCGUGAAUGUCUCCCUGAGUUAGCCAGACCAGCGUGGGGGGAGUGUAUUUGUGGUUCAGCUCAACAUAGGAUAUAAAAACAGAAAACUAACAGAAGAACUUCAAAGAGAGCAAGGGGCUUGAGCUGGUUUCAAACCAUGUAUUCCUUCCCGGUGACUAGGGACACCCAGCGUCAUGACAGUGAGCAUAUUAUGGAGCCUGGUAAAAUGAGGAUCACACUGGUAUUGUGAUUGAACUGUACAUUGCAAUUGCUAUAUUUUGCAAAGUGUAACUUACACUCGUAUUAUGAUUUCAGUAUUUUCAGUAUAUAUUCAUUAUGUGAAAAGGAGUUUGGUUUUCCUUAAGAAAGAAGGGUGGUUUGCUUUUUAUUUACCUAGGCAUCAGUACUGUGUCUUUUUCAAGUGAGAAGAACAAUGGAUAUAGGUAGACAUCUAAAUAAAUAACUGUGGGUAUGUUUCUCUUCA